rnacentral:rRNA from 1 species
GACGAACGCUGGCGGCGUGCCUAAUACAUGCAAGUUGAGCGCUGAAGGUUGGUCCUUGUACCAACUGGAUGAGCAGCGAACGGGUGAGUAACGCGUGGGGAAUCUGCCUUUGAGCGGGGGACAACAUUUGGAAACGAAUGCUAAUACCGCAUAAAAACUUUAAACACAAGUUUUAAGUUUGAAAGAUGCAAUUGCAUCACUCAAAGAUGAUCCCGCGUUGUAUUAGCUAGUUGGUGAGGUAAAGGCUCACCAAGGCGAUGAUACAUAGCCGACCUGAGAGGGGGAGCGGCCACAUUGGGACUGAGACACGGCCCAAACACCUACGGGAGGCAGCAGUAGGGAAUCUUCGGCAAUGGACGAAAGUCUGACCGAGCAACGCCGCGUGAGGGAAGAAGGUUGUCGGAUCGUAAAACUCUGUUGGUAGAGAAGAACGUUGGUGAGAGUGGAAAGCUCAUCAAGUGACGGUAACUACCCAGAAAGGGACGGCUAACUACGUG